rnacentral:rRNA from 1 species
GAAGGACUUACUCUUCGGAGUGAGAGCGUACACAGGUGCUGCAUGGCUGUCGUCAGCUCGUGUCGUGAGAUGUUGGGUUAAGUCCCGCAACGAGCGCAACCCUGCAUUCAGUUGCCAUCGGUAAGGCCGGGCACUCUGGAUGGACUGCCGGCGACAAGCCGGAGGAAGUGGGGACGACGUCAAGUCAUCAUGGCCCUUAUGUCCAGGGCGACACACGUGCUACAAUGGCCGGCACAACGGGAAGCGAAGGGGCGACCCUGAGCGGAUCCCACAAAAGCCGGUCUCAGUUCGGAUUGCAGUCUGCAACUCGACUGCAUGAAGUUGGAAUCGCUAGUAAUCGUGGAUCAGCCAAGCCGCGGUGAAUACGUUCCCGGGCCUU